UGCAACUGCUCAGUGGGUUAGAGCAUAGUGCUAAUGAUGCCAAGGUUGCAGGUUCGAUCCCCGUAUACGACAGCUGCAU